GAUCUGAUACCCACGGGGCCACAGAGACUCUAUGUGGCAGGCCACGGCACACGCAGAUUAGGCACAAGCCGUAGAGGACUUCGAGGCUGUGUGAUCAAAGCUUGGUGCUGUGGCCCAGCCUUCCUCUGUGGGAUACUGGGCAAGAUGUGUCUGGCAUCCGUUUCUCUGUGGACAUCUGUCUUCCUAAGGAUUUUCUGUAAGGCCGGUAAUCUACGAGCACUAACACUGUUGGCAAAGGUACACAGAAGUAACGGGUACUGGGUAGCGAUCCUGCCCGUAUUCAGUGCUACGAAGGGAGAACUGGUCCAGAAAAAGAAUGCUUGGUUGCCACCCCAGUCUAGGGCUUCGUUUGCCUAACGCUGAGCCAGCCUCCAGCGCAAUCCCAAUUUGGCUGCCUCGGGAAGCUGGGUUCUCUGUUGUAAGAGCCAGCAGGCUCAUAAAUGGGAGCUGACUUCAGAAAGCAAGCACCAUGCUAUAAGAGCUGUUGGCCCACCAUCCACGCCUCUCUUUGUUCCUUGCAUUUUAUUUCAUUCUCAUCCUGCUUGUUUUUUUUUUUUUUUUUUGGAAAGGUCAUAGCAAAAGAUAGGAAAACAGAUGGGAGAAUUCCAGAAUUUUCACUCUUAUAAGCUUAACCAUACUAUCAUUUAUGAAGUCUUAAUUUCCUUAAGGUAGCAUAUAUGUUGAGGCUUCUCUGAAUUAAGCUGAUUCUGGACGCAAAGCAAAGCAUGGUUUGAGUUGUAAGCCUGGCCAUCCACAAAGGUUGACAUGGCCUGACCAGGCUGUGCUCUGU
rnacentral:lncRNA from 1 species